AUUGAACGCUGGCGGCGUGCUUAACACAUGCAAGUCGAUCGGUAACAGGUGUAGCAAUACAUGCUGACGAGAGGCGGACGGGUGAGUAAUGCUUGGGAAUCUGCCUAUUAGUGGGGGACAACCCGGGGAAACUCGGGCUAAUACCGCAUACGCUCUACGGAGGAAAGCCGGGGACCGCAAGGCCUGGCGCUAAUAGAUGAGCCCAAGUCGGAUUAGCUAGUUGGUAGGGUAACGGCCUACCAAGGCGACAAUCCGUAGCUGGUCUGAGAGGACGACCAGCCACACCGGAACUGAGACACGGUCCGGACUCCUACGGGAGGCAGCAGUGGGGAAUAUUGGACAAUGGGGGCAACCCUGAUCCAGCGACGCCGCGUGGGUGAAGAAGGCCUGCGGGUUGUAAAGCCCUUUCGGUGGGGAAGAAAAGUCUCGACCUAAUACGUCGGGACCUUGACGUAACCCACUAAAGAAGCACCGGCUAACUCUGUGCCAGCAGCCGCAGUAAG
rnacentral:rRNA from 1 species